UACGUAGGGGGCGAGCGUUGUCCGGAUUUAUUGGGCGUAAAGGGCUCGUAGGCGGUUUGGCAAGUCGGGUGUGAAAACUCCGGGCUCAACUCGGAGACGCCACUCGAUACUGCCAUGACUCGAGUCCGGUAGGGGAGUGCGGAAUUCCUGGUGUAGCGGUGAAAUGCGCAGAUAUCAGGAGGAACACCGGUGGCGAAGGCGGCACUCUGGGCCGGUACUGACGCUGAGGAGCGAAAGCGUGGGGAGCGAACAGG
rnacentral:rRNA from 1 species